rnacentral:rRNA from 1 species
AAAGGGGCUACUGGCCCCGCUAAAAGAUGAGUCCGCCUCCCAUUAGCUUGUUGGUGGGGUAACGGCCCACCAAGGCUGCGAUGGGUAGCCGAGCUGAGAGGUUGAUCGGCCACACUGGAACUGAGACACGGUCCAGACACCUACGGGUGGCAGCAGUAGGGAAUAUUGGUCAAUGGGCGAAAGCCUGAACCAGCCAUGCCGCGUGAGUGAUGAAGGUCUUCGGAUUGUAAAGCUCUUUUCUGAGGGAAGAACCUCCCGGGUAGGAAAUGACCCGGGCUUGACGGUACCUCAGGAAUAAGGGACGGCUAACUCCGUGCCAGCAGCCCGCGGUAAUACGGAGGUCAAGCGUUGUUCGGAAUUACUGGGCGUAAAGGGAGCGCAGGCGGAAGAUUAGUCUAAAGUGGAAGCCCGGGGCUUAACCUCGGAAGUGCUUUGGAACUGUCAUUCUUGAGUACCUGAGAAGAAGGCGGAAUUCAAGGUGUAGCGUGAAAUGCU